rnacentral:rRNA from 1 species
CAGUCGCCGCGGUAAUACAGAGGGUGCAAGCGUUAAUCGGAUUUACUGGGCGUAAAGGGCGCGUAGGUGGUUAUGUAAGUGAGAUGUGAAAUCCCCGGGCUCAACCUGGGAACUGCAUCUUAUACUGCGUAGCUGGAGUGCAGUAGAGGGUAGUGGAAUUUCCGGCGUAGCGGUGAAAUGCGUAGAUAUCGGAAGGAACACCAGUGGCGAAGGCGGCUACCUGGACUGACACUGACACUGAGGCGCGAAAGCGUGGGGAGCAAACAGGAUUAGAUACCCGGGUAGUCCCUGUCUCUUAUAC